rnacentral:rRNA from 1 species
UUAAGUCUGGCCUGCCCUAUGAGUUAUUAAAUGGCUGCGGUACUCUGACCGUGCAAAGGUAGCAUAGUAAUUAGUUUUUUAAUUGGGAACUGGUAUGAAUGGUUUGACGAGAAAAAUACUGUCUCAAUUUAAUUUAAAUUAGAAUUUUAUUUUUAAGUAAAAAAGCUUAAAUAAUCUUAAAAGACGAGAAGACCCUAUAGAAUUUUAUAUUUUUAAUAAUAUUUGAAAGUUAAAGAAUCAAAGAUUUGAAUAUUUUUAAAAAUAUUUGGUUGGGGCAACUAAAAAAUUAAAUAAACUUUUUUUAUAAUAAAAACAUUGAUAUAUGAAUAAGUGAUCCAUAAAUUAUGAUUAAAAGAUUAAAUUACCUUAGGGAUAAAGCGUAAU